rnacentral:misc_RNA from 1 species
CGUCGUCGAUGUCGCGAACGAGGUGUGGGGUAGGUAGCUCGCACGAAUGACCCAAAGCGGUCAUUCGUGUGUUUCAAGAUCCCUCAGUGUCCGCUCAGCACCAGCGUCUUGACCGGCAGCAGCAAUGCCUGAAUCCGGAGCAGCAUGGCAUGCACGAUUCCGGUGGCGUCGANNNNNNNNAGCCAGAUGCGUUUACCGGUGCCGGUCUCCUUCGCGGAGAUUACGUCGUGAUUGCUGGUGU